CAGCGGUGACCCCGUGGAGGAGCAGAUCGACCACAACGGUUUAAAGUUCUCUGCUAGGUUUGGAGCUACUACUCCAUCUUCGAUCCCAGCCAUCUCGCACCCCCCUGAAAAUUUCUGGGUAGGUACAAGGUGCCCUCCCCAUCUCCUGUGUGUAUGUUGGAUUCGAUUCGAAUUGAGAACAAUAUAUCAGCUCAUCUCAGUGAAUUUCUUAUUAGAAUGUAAUAAAUGCAUCGAUUUUUAGAUUACAAGAAGCCUGUUGUUGCAGUACAUAAAGGGAGAAUUAAUCCUACUUAAAUUCAGAGAUAGCAAGACAUGAACUACUGACCGUCUCGGGCUGACAGCUGAGGGAGAGGGGGAGGGCAGCUGCCGCUGCUUCUCUCGAGCCCUUGUUGCUGGUGUGGUGGAUCUGCUCCGAGCCCCUCAAGCCACCCAUCUUCAAGGUGAUCACUGCAUCCACAUUUGAUCUUCCUGACUUGGGAAUUCAUGUCCUUUUUCUUAUAUAAAUAUGUGAGACACUUCAUUGGCUAUCUAAAUGGAGUUUGAAGUCUAUCUAUUUCCAUAGUACAAUAAGCAAACCCCGCAAUGUUCGAUUUGGUGCUAGAUUUCAUAUUUAUUCACAGAUACUUCUGUUUACUAUCUGCCCAGAAAAUUACAAUAUGAUGAAUCUGAAAGGAGAAGAGAAAUGGCAAAGAACUCCCUUAAUAUACACAUUAUUAUGAAC
rnacentral:lncRNA from 1 species